rnacentral:sRNA from 1 species
UGUUAAAAUUUUAUCAGUUAUCAAACCGAUUUUAUCAUUAAUCGGCCAGUUACCGAUUAAUUUCUCCGAUUUGAGUGAAAUCGCGUCGGAUGAGUACUGCCGAGUGAUUAUCCGGCCGCCUGCGUUUUUGAAUAGGGGUUCCAACCAUACUAAUUUGUAAACGUUUCGGUGCAUGUAGGAUUUUUUUUUUUUUGUUUUAGUUCUUGAAAUGUGAUAUUUAUUUGAAUCACAAAAUCGAGGGUUUAUGUAUAAAUGAACGAAAAUACCAAACCACCUAUAUGACGAAACAGAGCAUAAGAAACAGAUGAUGAGAGAUUAAGCUAUCGGGAUAGUAGACAUUAGACCAGCUUUGAAGGAGGGGCUCAUCAUUUCUGGCAAGUCCUUGUGGCGAGAGAUGAUACGAAGAAGGAUGACCUUGUCAAUGAUAUGAGCUAGG